GCCACGACAGGGCCUUACUGCUUGAAUUUGAGGGCUCCGUGCUGCAGAAAGCUUUUUUGGUUUCCUUUUGCCUACUGGAACCACAGGCCUUCAGUUUGUGUAACAUGUCACAAGACAACUUCUGACUUCCUCUUCGUACGUAUUUGCGUGUUCUUUGCUUUUGCUUAAAAGCACCAGAUGAAAAACUUGCUCUUUCCUAUAGGGCUCUACCAGUUCUUGCAGAGCCUGCACUUUGGAUGCUGUGUCUGAACAGAGACUGAGCCAGGCUGUAGCACUACCUUCCAUGCAGCUAUGGCUGCCUCGGGAGAGGCCUGGCUUCGCAGCAGUGGUGGAAGAGAAGGCUAGCAAGCUACAGCAGCAAGAAAUGCAGUAAGAGUUAUGAGUUAAUAAUGGUAAUAAAAAGGAGGAAUGAGAAAGAAGGGAAAUAAGAAGACCUAUCAUCUUGCUGGUUUCCAGCCCUCUUUGGUGGUAACUCCUGUGUUUUAAGGUUUUUAACUUAGGAAAAUGAGGAUAAGAGCAUGUGCUGACUUUUUGAAUUCAAUCAAGAUGGAUUCACUUUGUGUGUGAUGGGAAGUGUGUGCUGCAAGGGGAAAAAACAUGCAAAGAGUUGCAGAGAAUACCUCAGCCAUAGUCAAUACUGUGAAUAAAAUGUUGAAUGAAUUACCACCUCCUGAGAGACUGAUCAGUGGAACGUGAGACCCCAACAGCUGAGAUCCUUGGUAAAACGUCCAUAGGGAUCAGCCUGUAGGAAUCUUCAGGAUAACGAUGAUCAGAGUGGCCACAGGGAUUGUUUGGGAGCUACAUGUUGAUACAUGGAUAUGCCCUCCCAAAAGGCCAAGAGAAGACAAGGAAAGGGCAGGAGUGAGAAUGUUGUUAAAAGGAGAAACAAAAUGAGGUUUUAAAGUGGAGCCUAUUUAAGCUAUUUGUAACAAGCUUUGCAAGUAUGGUUUCCAUGUCAGAACAAGAAAAUACAGCUGAUGUUUAUGGUUAAAUUUCUUCAGCCUGCAGUCAUCAUGAAAAGUUGUUGUUCUCACUGCUGAAAUUUUAGUUCCCUGUUACCAGAACAUUGCUCAAGUUUCGAGGCAGUGACGGUGGAAAAAUCAUGUCCCUCCAG
rnacentral:lncRNA from 1 species